GAAAUGCGAUACGUGAUGUGAAUUGCAUACUCGUGAAUCAUCGAAUCUUUGAACGCAAAUGGCGCUCGGCCGCUUCGGUGUGCCGAGCAUGUCUGUUUGAGGGUCAGUUUCACCUGCUUUGCUUUUCUUUUCCUUUUUCAAAAAAGGGGGGGAAUAGCAAGACGAUGCGUGUUCACUUGUUCAAAACGAGUGAUCAUGUGAAACGGAUAUAUAAAACCUUGGAAACAGACUCGGGCGAACGUUCCGGGGUCCCGACCUCUUAUACUACAACGGGACCAAACGGAAGCAUCACCGGGCUAUUUCUUGACAAACUUUUAUAACAAUGACCUCAAAUCAGGCAAGAGCACCCGCUGAACUUAA
rnacentral:misc_RNA from 1 species